AUUUAGCUGACGAGUACUAAAUAGGACGAAACACACGUCUUAAAC
rnacentral:hammerhead_ribozyme from 1 species